ACGGAAGGCAGCAGUGGGGAAUAUUGCACAAUGGGCGAAAGCCUGAUGCAGCGACGCCGCGUGAGUGAAGAAGUAUCUCGGUAUGUAAAGCUCUAUCAGCAGGGAAGAAAAUGACGGUACCUGACUAAGAAGCCCCGGCUAACUACGUGCCAGCAGCCGCGGUAAUACGUAGGGGGCAAGCGUUAUCCGGAUUUACUGGGUGUAAAGGGUGUGUAGGCGGGGGAGCAAGUCAGAUGUGAAAUCCAUGGGCUCAACUCAUGGACUGCGUCUGAAACUGUUCUUCUUGAGUGUCGGAGGGGUAAUCGGAAUUCCUGGUGUAGCGGUGAAAUGCGUAGAUAUCAGGAGGAACACCGGUGGCGAAGGCGGAUUACUGGACGACAACUGACGCUGAGACACGAAAGCGUGGGGAGCAAACAGGAUUAGAUACCCUGGUA
rnacentral:rRNA from 1 species